rnacentral:sRNA from 1 species
ACUUUACAGCUGAAGAAAAAGAAAUCCAGCAAAAUUAAAUGACUUGCCCAAGGUCCUAUAACCAGUGGACUGCAAGGCUGGACUAGAGGGCAGAGUUUCCAUCCCAUGGGUGCAGGCCAGGUCACACACUUCUCUCUGUAGAGAGCUGUCUCUCCUGCUCACAUCCUGGGUAAAUCCUUAUUGGCAAAGAAGAAGGUGGGAGAGAAGGUGGCCAACAAAGUGCUAGCUCUGCCAACUUCUGUCAUCAUCAGGAGACAAGUGUUGCAGGGUUCAGCGGAUUCCUACACAAGCAGGCCGUCUGACUCCGAUGUCUCUUUGGAAGAGGACCGGGAAGCAAUUCGACAGGAGAGAGAACAGCAAGCAGCUAUCCAGCUUGAGAGAGCAAAGUCCAAACCUGUAGCAUUUGCCGUGAAGACAAAUGUGAGCUACUGCGGCGCCCUGGAUGAGGAUGUGCCUGUUCCAAGCACAGCUAUCUCCUUUGAUGCUAAAGACUUUCUACAUAUUAAAGAGAAAUAUAACAAUGAUUGGUGGAUAGGAAGGCUGGUGAAAGAGGGCUGUGAAAUUGGCUUCAUUCCAAGUCCACUCAGAUUGGAGAACAUACGGAUUCAGCAAGAACAAAAAAGAGGACGUUUUCACGGAGGGAAAUCAAGUGGAAAUUCUUCUUCAAGUCUUGGAGAAAUGGUAUCUGGGACAUUUCGAGCAACUCCCACGUCAACAGCAAAACAGAAGCAAAAAGUG